rnacentral:rRNA from 1 species
GAUGAACGCUGGCGGCGUGCCUAAUACAUGCAAGUCGAGCGAACAGACGACGAGCUUGCUCCUCUGACGUUAGCGGCGGACGGGUGAGUAACACGUGGAUCACCUACCUCUAAGACUGGGAUAACUUCGGGAAACCGGAGCUAAUACCGGAUAAUAUAUUGAACCGCAUGGUUCAAUAGUGAAAGACGGUUGUGCUGUCACUUAUAGAUGGAUCCGCGCCGCAUUAGCUAGUUGGUAAGGUAACGGCUUACCAAGGCAACGAUGCGUAGCCGACCUGAGAGGGUGAUCGGCCACACUGGAACUGAGACACGGUCCAGACUCCUACGGGAGGCAGCAGUAGGGAAUCUUCCGCAAAGGGCGAAAGCCUGACGGAGCAACGCCGCGUGAGUGAUGAAGGUCUUCGGAUCGUAAAACUCUGUUAUUAGGGAAGAACAAAUGUGUAAGUAACUAUGCACGUCUUGACGGUACCUAAUCAGAAAGCCACGGCUAACUACGUG